rnacentral:tRNA from 1 species
ACCCAGUUGGCUCUGUCAGUAGAGCAUGUGACUCUUGAUCUUGGGGUCGUAAGUUCGAGUUCUAUGUUGGGUG